UGCGCCCUGCGGUGUUCGAUUAGGCCAUACAUUCCUUGAACCAAUAAUGUGACUCAGGCCACGGCGAUUCGCGUACCGCUGUUGUGAUCGUCCCUCGUCGGAUGAACCUGAUGCGGUGCCUGCUGUGGCCGACCUGAACUUCACGGUUCAGGAUGCUGGUCUGCCGGCACAGGCGGGGCCCCU
rnacentral:other from 1 species